rnacentral:rRNA from 1 species
CGGGACACGUGGUAUCCUGUCUGAAUAUGGGGGGACCAUCCUCCAAGGCUAAAUACUCCUGACUGACCGAUAGUGAACCAGUACCGUGAGGGAAAGGCGAAAAGAACCCCGGCGAGGGGAGUGAAAAAGAACCUGAAACCGUGUACGUACAAGCAGUGGGAGCACGCUUAGGCGUGUGACUGCGUACCUUUUGUAUAAUGGGUCAGCGACUUAUAUUCUGUAGCAAGGUUAACCGAAUAGGGGAGCCGAAGGGAAACCGAGUCUUAACUGGGCGUUAAGUUGCAGGGUAUAGACCCGAAACCCGGUGAUCUAGCCAUGGGCAGGUUGAAGGUUGGGUAACACUAACUGGAGGACCGAACCGACUAAUGUUGAAAAAUUAGCGGAUGACUUGUGGCUGGGGGUGAAAGGCCAAUCAAACCGGGAGAUAGCUGGUUCUCCCCGAAAGCUAUUUAGGUAGCGCCUCGUGAAUUCAUCUCCGGGGGUAGAGCACUGUUUCGGCAAGGGGGU